CCGGCGCACGGUGAGUAACGCGUAUGCAACUUACCUAUCAGGAGGGGAUAACCCGGCGAAAGUCGGACUAAUACCGCAUGAAGCAGGGGCCCCGCAUGGGGAUAUUUGCUAAAGAUUCAUCGCUGAUAGAUAGGCAUGCGUUCCAUUAGGCAGUUGGCGGGGUAACGGCCCACCAAACCGACGAUGGAUAGGGGUUCUGAGAGGAAGGUCCCCCACAUUGGUACUGAGACACGGACCAA
rnacentral:rRNA from 1 species